CAGUCGCCGCGGGAAUACGAAGGGUGCAAGCGUUAAUCGGAAUUACUGGGCGUAAAGCGUGCGUAGGUGGUGGUUUAAGUCCGUUGUGAAAGCCCUGGGCUCAACCUGGGAAUUGCAGUGGAUACUGGGUCACUAGAGUGUGGUAGAGGAUAGUGGAAUUUCCGGUGCAGCAGUGAAAUGCGUAGAGAUCGGGAGGAACAUCAGUGGCGAAGGCGGCCAUCUGGGACAACACUGACGCUGAAGCACGAAAGCGUGGGGAGCAAACAGGAUUAGAUACCCCUGUAGUCCCUGUCUCUUAUAC
rnacentral:rRNA from 1 species